UACGGAGGGUGCAAGCGUUGUUCGGAAUUACUGGGCGUAAAGCGCGUGUAGGCGGUUUUAUAUGUCAGAUGUGAAAGUCCACGGCUUAACCAUGGAAGUGCAUUUGAAACUGUAGAACUUGAGUACUGGAGGGGGUGGGGGAAUUCCCGGUGUAGAGGUGAAAUUCGUAGAUAUCGGGAGGAAUACCGGUGGCGAAGGCGACCACCUGGCCAGAUACUGACGCUGAGGUGCGAAAGCGUGGGGAGCAACCAGGAUUAGAUACCCUGGUAGUCCACGCCGUAAACGAUGUCAACUAGGUGUUGGGGCGGUUAAUCGUCUCAUUGCCGGAGCUAACGCAUUAAGUUGACCGCCUGGGGAGUACGGUCGCAAGAUUAAA
rnacentral:rRNA from 1 species